GGAAAAAUGACUGAGCAUUUUUUCCAGAGUUAAGACCAUUUUCCUCAAAGAGAGUACAUUUGGCUCUAUAAUGAGUUUGGAGAGUAACAUUUUGAGUAAGAGAAAGAGCAAAGUCACAGAGUAACUGAUCAAUAGGCGGGGCUUGUCAAAGAAGUUAAGUUUCGUUUGUCCGCCAUACUGUUCAUCAUCACUGCAGUUGAAGUGGAUUUGGAAAAGACGAUUUUGCAAGACGUUAAAAAGAUGGAAAACCGCAAUGUUGUUAAAGUGAAGUUCAAAGACCACAAGAAAUAUGUUUUUUCUCCAACAACAUUUACAUUUGAAGCAUUUUUGGAAUGUGUUGCCAGGAAAUUUGACCUUCCUACAAUGGAUUUUAAAGUCUUUGAUGACUCAAAGACAGAGGUUGAUCAGGAAGCAUUUGAAUAUUUGAUGAUGCAGCCAGAUGUUGGUGUCCUGGA